rnacentral:misc_RNA from 1 species
GGAAUAUUCAGAUAGUGAUGGAUAUGUUCCAUAUACUGGAAAAAGAACCUUGUUGUCCUGGUUGAUUGACUCCGGAAUAUUAAAGUUGAGACAGAAGAUUCAAUAUGUGAACCGUAGAAAGACAACAGUAAAAUUAGAAGGUUGGAUCACACAAGAUGGUGUCCACUGUGGUUGCUGUAGUAAAAUCCUUCCAGUUUCAAGAUUUGAGCUCCAUGCAGGAAGUAAACGACAUCAAC